rnacentral:rRNA from 1 species
AGAGUUUGAUCCUGGCUCAGGAUGAACGCUGGCGGCGUGCCUAAUACAUGCAAGUCGAGCGAACGGAUGAGAAGCUUGCUUCUCUGAUGUUAGCGGCGGACGGGUGAGUAACACGUGGAUAACCUACCUAUAAGACUGGGAUAACUUCGGGAAACCGGAGCUAAUACCGGAUAAUAUUUUGAACCGCAUGGUUCAAAAGUGAAAGACGGUCUUGCUGUCACUUAUAGAUGGAUCCGCGCUGCAUUAGCUAGUUGGUAAGGUAACGGCUUACCAAGGCAACGAUGCAUAGCCGACCUGAGAGGGUGAUCGGCCACACUGGAACUGAGACACGGUCCAGACUCCUACGGGAGGCAGCAGUAGGGAAUCUUCCGCAAUGGGCGAAAGCCUGACGGAGCAACGCCGCGUGAGUGAUGAAGGUCUUCGGAUCGUAAAACUCUGUUAUUAGGGAAGAACAUAUGUGUAAGUAACUGUGCACAUCUUGACGGUACCUAAUCAGAAAGCCACGGCUAACUACGUGCCAGCAGCCGCGGUAAUAC